AUUGAACGCUGGCGGCAGGCUUAACACAUGCAAGUCGAGCGGAGAUGAGGUGCUUGCACCUUAUCUUAGCGGCGGACGGGUGAGUAAUGCUUAGGAAUCUGCCUAUUAGUGGGGGACAACAUUCCGAAAGGGAUGCUAAUACCGCAUACGUCCUACGGGAGAAAGCAGGGGCUCUUCGGACCUUGCGCUAAUAGAUGAGCCUAAGUCGGAUUAGCUAGUUGGUGGGGUAAAUGCCUACGAAGGCGACGAUCUGUAGCGGGUCUGAGAGGAUGAUCCGCCACACUGGGACUGAGACACGGCCCAGACUCCUACGGGAGGCAGCAGUGGGGAAUAUUGGACAAUGGGGGGAACCCUGAUCCAGCCAUGCCGCGUGUGUGAAGAAGGCCUUAUGGUUGUAAAGCACUUUAAGCGAGGAGGAGGCUACUGAGACUAAUACUCUUGGAUAGUGGACGUUACUCGCAGAAUAAGCACCGGCUAACUCUGUGCCAGCAGCCGCAGUAA
rnacentral:rRNA from 1 species